rnacentral:rRNA from 1 species
CAGUCGCCACGGUAAAACAGAGGGUGCGAGUGUUAAUCGGAUUUACUGGGCGUAAAGCGUGCGUAGGCGGCUUUUUAAGUCGGAUGUGAAAUCCCUGAGCUUAACUUAGGAAUUGCAUUCGAUACUGGGAAGCUAGAGUAUGGGAGAGGAUGGUAGAAUUCCAGGUGUAGCGGUGAAAUGCGUAGAGAUCUGGAGGAAUACCGAUGGCGAAGGCAGCCAUCUGGCCUAAUACUGACGCUGAGGUACGAAAGCAUGGGGAGCAAACAGGAUUAGAUACCCCCGUAGUCCCUGUCUCUUAUAC